CAACUUUUGGAACUUCGAUUUCACUUUCGUGGACAUUUUAUUUUCCUCGAGUCUAUACCUUACAUGUUAACAAAAUUUAUUUUUUGUGCUUGAGUUUCUUUCUUGUAACAUAAAAUUUAUUUUCUUACUCUUGACUUUGGAUUAUAUUGGGAUGGAAAAAAGCUUGAUGAAGAUUCGGUUUGGUUAUGGUUAUGUGUUGG
rnacentral:lncRNA from 1 species